UCUUGAACUCCUGGACUCAAACGAUCCACCUACCUCAGCCUCCCAGGCUUUCUUUCUCUCCAAUGUGUUUGCCUGUUUUAUUUACUGCUGUAUCCCCAGGUCAUAGGAAGUGCUCACUAAGUACUAGCAGAGAAAAUGAGUGAGCCGUGGGGAUUCAUGGAUGGAGGAUGGUUAUGCUGAUGAGCAGGAAGAGACUGGGAGGCUGGAGGCCAUUUUCUGGCUGGCGGACCUCCAGAGUCAGAACUCCAACACGCUCUUCCUUGACACAUCCUUUACGAUAGAAUAUGUAGUCUUGCAGGAGGGGAAUGGACUGUGAGUCUAUUCCUAUGUUCUAUAAAACACCGAUGACUAUGGAUAUACAUCUGGUUGCUUUAAGUGUGUGCAGUGACCUGCACAAUGUCACACCUGGUAACUGGUCGGUAGUAACAGAAGUGCCUCUCCUUUCCUCCUCUUUAUACAUGAGGAUGGCUGGAUACAGAGCAGUCAAACUUGACCAAGGUCACUCUCGUCAUUUCAUUCCAGACCUAGGAGACAGAAAGGAGCUCUCCUGAUGCUAGUCCCCAGCUGGAGACAGUGGCUUGGUGCAAAACAUCCCCAGGGGCAGCCAGCCUUCUAGGGAAUGGACAGAGAGGCAAGAGCAGGCCAGCCUUCUAGGGAAUGGACAGAGAGGCAAGAGCAGGCCAGCCUUCUAGGGAAUGGACAGAGAGGCAAGAGCAGGCC
rnacentral:lncRNA from 10 species